GAGCCCUUGUUCUUUCUCUCCCCAUUCAUCUCUCAUUCAAUACUUCCUGUCAAAGGUAAACAAAUGGUGCUCCGCACCCCAAAGUGUAAAAUGAUUCAAAAUGUAAGCCGAAUACGCUUAUUUAAGAGUUCAAAAUGCCCGGACAGAAGAGAAAAUAUAAUGUUCGCUUUCCACCCGGACGCAUCAAGAAAAUAAUGCAAAAGGAUACAGAGGUUGGACGAAUCGCUUCAGCGGUGCCAAUCAUCAUAUCUAAAGCUUUGGAAAUGUUCCUCAGGUCUCUUCUCAUCGUGAGCUGUAAAAUAACACAGUCCAGGAACAGCAGAGUGAUGUUCAUAAAUCACAUGAAACGGUGGCAAAGCGUGUCUAUCAAAGCCAGGUCACCGGAGAGGGAGGGGCCGCCCCAGAAAGCCACCAAUGAGCUGGCCAUCAACAGUGAUUCAUCCACUGUGAGUUAUUGUGAUUGAUUUCACUGACACAGUGUAAAGGAACUUGACAAGUGAUAUUUGUAUUUUUAAUCUUGUCAAUGUUCUUUAUGUACAUUUCUUUUUCUGGACUCUGAGCUGUUCAUCUGCUUGGAAACUCAUUCACCUUGACCGGGCUUUUGAAAAGUUUGAAAAGAUCGAACAAUCUCUCGCUGAAAACUGCAGUGUUAUUUAUGAAGACCCAGCAUCUCUUGGGAGGGGGGUGUCAUUGUUAUUCUUAGCAUCUGACAUACUGUAAAUGUUUAAUUUUUAAUUUGUGAAAUUGCUCUCUUGUGGUAUUCUAUUGACCAUGAAAUUAAUUAUAUAAUUUUUGUUUUCAAGUUUUCCAGGGAGUUUUAAAUUCUGAUAAGAAAAUAAUUUAUUAUAUAAUAAGAGAUUUUGUGAUUCUGAGCAGCUCCACUAUUUUUCUUUCAGUUGGAUUCGUAAUUAAAACUGUAGUUUGAACUGUCUUAUGUUUAUAAUGUUACAUGAUUUUCUAAGCUGAGAUAAAUGUGAUAAUAUAAUAUUUAUAGAUAAAGGUAAAUAUUGAUUCUUUUCUUUUAUCCACAUUAGGU